AAGACGUAACAGACCCGCUGUAUAUACAGAAAUCUCUCUAACCACACUCACAGAGUCUUUCCUGCAUCUGCACGGCGUACCAAUAUAACAUAUACAACAACACACUCAUCCACUCAUACAAACAAUAUACACAAUGCAAAUGUCAGACAACCAUUCAGCUAACCAUCCUUACGAUGAUGCAUGUUCUAAACACUCCUUAGGCGAACGAUGAUGCAUGUUCUAAACACUCCUUAGGCGAACGCUGAUGCUAAUGCACAUACAGCAAUCAAUUCUAUUCUUUUAAAAGUGUUUCCCAUCCGAAAACUCUCUUUAGAAACACAAGAUAUCGAUAAAUCCGAAAAUCGUUUAAAAAUUGUUUCCUACACGAAAACUCUAUUUAAAAACACUAGAUAUCGAUAAAUUUGAAAAUCCUUUAAAAAAUAUUUCCCACACGGAAACCCACUUUUGGAAAGCCAGCUACCACGAGGGGUAGAAAACCACGAGCGAUAAAAUCACGAUUAUCAUCCUGAAUUAUUGAGAAUAAACAAUCAUUCGCAACACACGGAAACCCACUUUUGGAAAGCCAGCUGCCACGAGGGGUAGAAAACUAUGAGCGAUAAAAUCAUGAUUAUCAUCCUGAAUUAUUGAGAAUAAACAAUCAUUCACAAUAUUCAAAAUCACUAAAUAGCUGAAUAACUGAAUCACAUAUAAUCUAGUUUAUUAACCACUAAAAU
rnacentral:lncRNA from 1 species